GACAACGAUGAAGAUGUCCCUCAGCUGCCUGCCGCGCGCUGCUUCGCCUGCCAUUCAGUUCUACCGGCACCGUCCUAGCGUGAGCCCACGAACAUCUGCCCGCUGGGAUAUUCCAUCAACGCCGGUCAGGACUGUUAUAGAGGAAUACCAUCUCCUCUACAGCCCCAAGUCCUUCCGGGAGUCCACAAGAGAAUGAGCUGGGGUGACGCCGUGCGGGGUUUCCUGACGUAACUUCUUCACUCUGCGGCAGCGGAAGUCUGUCUGUCACCGGGUAUACGCACUAGCGACUUUUCGAGGCGAGAUCUCCGCGGAGAAGCGAGGGUGACAGAAGUUACGUAAGAGCAAACAGAGUGCACGUGACUUGACGUCACGGCUCCUUGUGCAAUCCUUCACGCCGGAGGCACCGGAGGGCCCCGCAGAGAUUCUCUCGGCUCCCCCUUCCGAUCUCUGCGGAGAAAACAUGGCGGCUGCCCAGGAGCUGUUCAGGAGUGAUCGUUUUUUUACGACCUGUUUAGCGCGGUUGAGAUGAACGUGUGUCUUUGGAAGCUUGACUCAUCAGACUACAAGAACGUACGACUGAAGGCAGCUACCUGGGAAAGCAUAACGACGGAUCUGCAGCGAAAGCACGGCGGCAAAGUUACAGGAGAUAAGUAUUCGUUUCUUUGAUUUCUCGAAAACGAAUAUGCGCUGUACAGUCUUUGUCGGUGUCAUAAAAUUGUCUUUCAAAGUAUGUUUGCUAUCGGUGCUGCUGAAGCACACAACCCUAAAAACGGAGUCUUGGCUGACGAUAUACUUUUAAGCAAAUCGCGUUGUCGGUGUAGUACCAUUUUAUCAUGUGUAAUGUUAGCGUCGGUAGCUCGCCUGCAAGGCAACAUUAUCAAGCAUGUUUUUCUUACAUGACGUAAGGAGAUACUUUGCUAUAAAGCGAAAGCAAUAUAGCGAUAAACGAAAGAAGAAAAUGGCUACAAAAAGCGGACAGGCACGAGUGACGUACAUGGGCAAGUGGAAAUACUUCGAAGCACUGUCUUUCCUGGAUAACCGCUGCGCGGAUGUUCAUCACAGUGUUCUUGGUCUGCAGCAGGUAACGAGAGUAGGCUGAGCCAACUGUAACUUGCUUCUGUCACGGUUGCUGCUGUUUGAAACAUUUAUGAACUAUUCAAUUGAGUGAGAAGUACACUCUGUUUUUGGAGACCAAAAUGGUGAUAUUUCUCUCAUGCAAGCUUUGUCACUACUAUUUUUUGCAGCCACACGCUGUUCAUCAGACUGAGAGCACAGAGAAUGAGUGUCCCACUAAGGAGGACGGGCACGCAUUGGUUGAUCUGCUUCCCGUGGAAAGUGAAGCCAUGUCGACAGCAGGCCGUACACUGGAGGAGCCCGAAAUGGUGCCAUCAUCCUCCCAGCCUACACCACCUGUUCCACGGAAGCAGAAGAAAACUGCAAGAAGUACGGCUGAACAAAAUGAAAGAACAGGUGCCCUUUCCCGAAUCGCAGAUGUACUUGCACAGCAGCCAGAUGAGUGUGUGACAUUUGGAAAGCUGAUGGAAUGCCGUAUGCGAGAGAUUCCCAGCAAGCUACACAGUUGGUUUGAGGUGCAGGUCCUAAGUUUUGUAAAUGAAUUAGAAGAAGAAUUGGACAGAAACAAUGCAUAGUCAUCCACAUAGCAUAAACCUAUUCUAAUCCGAACAAAUCCUCUAUGGUUGCACGCAGUAAGACAUAAUGCAGAUAAAACAUUGCCCCAACCCACAAUAUCAUAUUACGCUGUAUCGACUCCUUUCACAACAUGCUUCAGAACUAAACCAGUUACGUAGUAAUGGCAGAGGCAAUUAAAUGUGAGACAGUUGAUGUUCUGAGGCUGGAACACAUAGAAAGGACAGAUAUAUACAAACCUCUUUCAACAAUUAAAUAUAGAGGGACAAAUAGCACACAUGCCUCAUAAUGCCCAACAGCAUGAAACAAUUGAAUAAAGGCAGCUGGGACUGUAACCCGCACCCCCUGAUUUGCGGUUAGAGAUGCUACAAGAUACACCACAUUGGCCACCGUCCCUUUCAAAGUACCAAGCCAUGCAAGGAAAGAUGGUGACAUGCACUCACCCAACAACACAUUCUCUCUUACACUGCUGCCAGCCGCUCUCACAUUCACACAGAUGAAGACAUACGUGGCUGACGGAAUCUUUCUCAAGUAAUGUAGUAGAGAUGAGGCAAUUCGGAAAAUAAGUUGUGAGGCUCAUGUUGUUUUCAUACAUCUGUUGCCUCAUCCACUACUGCAUUACCUGAGAAAGACGCAACACUCCACGUAUGUCUUCCUCUGUGUGAACACUGAAACACAAAUUAUUGUGCGCAGUUGAUAGUGCUCAGGUUACUACAUCAUCUCAUUUGCUUUUUACUAUGUAAUACAGAUGAAUACAGAAUUUGGACUUGCACAUUUCCCACGUACGUUCCAGAGAGCAGCUUUGAAAUAAAUCGUAACUUAGCUACUCAGCAUUUCAGCUCAGGAACUGCAGUUAUAACUUAGACUCUUUCAAAGUCGUAUGGGCAAAAGGGCAGUGCUCUAUCUGCAUUGUUGUCUUUUGUUUUUGUUUGUGUGGCAUGUUGCCACCAAUGAAGUUAACAAGUGUUAGCCCACAUAAAUGUAAAAGGUUUGUUUCUAAUAAAAAGUAAACUGCA